AAGAAAAAAAUCAAUAACCUAGAUAAAAGACCUAACGGGGUGUUCGUAUGGAUUUCGUGCUUUCAUCUGCAGCAAACCAGUGUUGUUCCCCCAUGAAAUACCAGUUACAUAGAAGAAAGAUCUAACGCCUUAUUGAUAUUCUUAUUCCCAUACUUUCCUCCUGCUAUACUUUUCUGUUGCAAAAACACAUGGUUAUGAACUAUCAAUUUAUCUAUUUUAAUCUUCAAAUGUUGUUAAUUAGGGUUUUGAUGUUUUUUGUGUUUGUGUUGCAGGGAUUCGUCGAUUGAAGGAAAGCUUGGGUUGUUAAUUAGGCUUUUGAUGCUUUUUGUGUUUGUGUUGGAGGGAUUCGUCAAUUAAAGGAAAGCUUGGGUUUUUGAUACAGUGGGUUGCAAACAGAUUCAAUUUAGGGUUUCGUCGAUCGAAAUAAAGAUUGGGUAUUUCAAAUACGAUUUCAAAAUGAUAUAUAAUCAAAUACGAUUCAUAGUUUGUUGUACCACAGCGAAGAUGGAGAAUUGGUAAACCCGCGUCGAUUGAAGCUGUGUCUCUGGUGGACGUUUCAGUAGAUGGUUACAACGGAUUUGAUGUUGGUUCUUGGAAUGGAAGGAGAAGAUCUGAUGCCGCGAAUGGGUUUUCAUCUGGAAUUGAAUUCCAAUGAGUCGAGUACGAGUUUGAGAUGGGACUUCUGCUCUCGAUAAACCAUAAAAUCCUAUUCCGUAUGUUGGAAAACCCAGAUCCCUACUAAUUCCUACGAUUUUUCAAUUGUUUUUUAUUUUAUACUGCAGGUGAUAAAGAUUCAUGAAAAUUAGACAUCCAUAUAGGGAAAAUUUUGGAUUCAAGCACUCAGGCCUUUAAACAGUUUAUCUCUAUGAAAAUUCACGAGUUUGUUUGCAUCGAAUAAUAUACUGGGGUUAUAAAUAGGCUCUCAAUGACAUUAUUGUUACAGGUUAAGUUGCAUAUAUGUAAAGGUUAUAUGAUGCAUGAAUACAACUAUAGAAAGCCAUAAGUACAUAGAAAUGUCAUCUUUUAUGUUGGUAAACCCAGAUCCCUACUAAUUCCUACGAUUUUUCAAUUGUUUUUUAUUUUAUACUGCAGGUGAUAAAGAUUCAUGAAAAUUAGACAUCCAUAUAGGGAAAAUUUUGGAUUCAAGCACUCAGGCCUUUAAACAGUUUAUCUCUAUGAAAAUUCAUGAGUUUGUUUGCAUCGAAUAAUAUACUGGGGUUAUAAAUAGGCUCUCAAUGACAUUAUUGUUACAGGUUAAGUUGCAUAUAUGUAAAGGUUAUAUGAUGCAUGAAUACAACUAUAGAAAGCCAUAAGUACAUAGAAAUGUCAUCUUUUGGUCGCUAAUUAGAACUGUUAGAAACUUUCCAUGGUGAUAAAAAGGUAUAGUAUUGUUUCUGACUUUCUUAGAAGUUUUUCAGACCAUCUUUGAGCAGUAGGGAACAAUGUAUACCAUGCUCCCUUUAAUUUUCUCCGAAAUUAAAGGUUCAUAUCUCAGGUUGUCUGCCCUUCUAUAAUCGAAUGUGCCUUUCUUUUACUUGAUAUAUUGAAGAGGAUGGAGUGAGAGAAAUAGCCUGAGUUAACUAUAAAGGAGAGGUGCUCCUUUUCAGGUAUUGAUUCUUAGAGCAUUGUUUCUUAGAUGCUAAUUCAGAUCAAAUCAAUUUAUAUGGUAUCUGCAAAACUACCAACGUAGAAUCCCAUAGCAUAAACUUCUAAUCAUUUCCUGUUACAGAUGAUCAAUUGAUAAACAAACCAUUUGCAGCAUAAUAGUGAGGCUUUUAUACAGUGGUAAGAACCAUUAUGAUACUCCAUGAGAGUUUGUUAAAUGUAUUUAGAAAAACUGUAUUCUUUGUUUGGAAAUGUGUACUUAAAUUACAAUGAACUCCAUAAUUAGAACUGCAUUACAAGUUUAAACAAUGCCAGUAAGGAUCUUGGCCUAAUGAUAUAGAUUAAUAAAGAAUCAAAUCAGCAGCAAGUGAAGCAGCUUACAACAAGCAUAUCCAGUGCUCUAAAAAAAAGAUUGAUCUUGGAUUUAAAAUCAGAACGGGCCUAAUGGUUCAUGCUACCUACUAUGGAAUCGGAAAUGAUAAUUUGGGGAGCAAGGAUGGAGCUGAUGUUGAAGACAAUGAUAUUGGAAUAGGAAGCACCUCUACAGUUUAUAAGAUCGGUGGUAGUGGCUACAAUGAGGUAGAAUCAACGCAGCUGAAGUUUAUGUGAAUGGUGUUAAGUGGAGAACUCCAUUAUUGGGUAAAUGAAUGAUGAAAAUGGUGGUAAUGAUUUAACUUAAAUUACAGAUGAUGUUCAUGCUGCGGAAGUAAUUUUGGAAAGGCUGAGAGAGGUGUGGAUUCCACUAUAGCUAAGAAUGUAUUGAUGACAUCAACAUUGAUGUAAGUUGUUUGUUAUUGUUGUAAGUUGUUUGUUUUGAAAACUGAAAAGAAACUCAAUGUUUGGUAGAUGCCUGCCCUGUCCUGAAAUUCUUUUGGAUAAUACUUGAUAAGUAACAACUAUAAUUCAUAUA